rnacentral:rRNA from 1 species
AACGAACGCUGGCGGCAGGCUUAACACAUGCAAGUCGAACGCAUCGCAAGAUGAGUGGCAGACGGGUGAGUAACGCGUGGGAACAUACCCUUUUCUACGGAAUAGCUCUGGGAAACUGGAAUUAAUACCGUAUACGCCCUUUACUGGUGGACAGUUUAGGGGAAAGAUUUAUCGGGGGAGGAUUGGCCCGCGUUGGAUUAGCUAGUUGGUGGGGUAACGGCCUACCAAGGCGACGAUCCAUAGCUGGUCUGAGAGGAUGAUCAGCCACAUUGGGACUGCGACACGGCCCAAACUCCUACGGGAGGCAGCAGUGGGGAAUAUUGGACAAUGGGCGCAAGCCUGAUCCAGCCAUGCCGCGUGAGUGAUGAAGGCCUUAGGGUUGUAAAGCUCUUUCACCGAUGAAGAUAAUGACGGUAGUCGGAGAAGAAGCCCCGGCUAACUUCGUGCCAGCCGCCGCCGUAA